GACGAACGCUGGCGGCGUGCCUAAUACAUGCAAGUAGAACGCUGAAGGAGGAGCUUGCUCUUCUGGAUGAGUUGCGAACGGGUGAGUAACGCGUAGGUAACCUGCCUGGUAGCGGGGGAUAACUAUUGGAAACGAUAGCUAAUACCGCAUAAGAGUAGAUGUUGCAUGACAUUUACUUAAAAGGUGCAAUUGCAUCACUACCAGAUGGACCUGCGUUGUGUUAGCUAGUUGGUGGGGUAAAGGCUUACCAAGGCGACGAUACAUAGCCGACCGGAGAGGGGGGUCGGCCACACUGGGACUGAGACACGGCCCAGACGCCUACGGGAGGCAGCAGUAGGGAAACGGCGGCAAUGGACGGAAGUCUGACCGAGCAACGCCGCGGGAGUGAAGAAGGUUGUCGGAUCGUAAAGCUCGGUUGUAAGAGAAGAACGAGUGUGAGAGUGGAAAGUUCACACUGUGACGGUAACUUACCAGAAAGGGACGGCUAACUACGUG
rnacentral:rRNA from 1 species